rnacentral:rRNA from 1 species
CAAAAUACACCUGCUGCCCGCCAGGGAACUACGAGCAUUAGCUUGAAACCCAAAGGACUUGGCGGUGCUUUAGACCCACCUAGAGGAGCCUGUCCUAGAACCGAUAACCCCCGUUCAACCUCACCUUUCCUUGUUUAUCCCGCCUAUAUACCGCCGUCGUCAGCUUACCCUGUGAAGGGCUAAUAGUAAGCAAAAUUGGCAUAGCCCAAAACGUCAGGUCGAGGUGUAGCGUAUGGAAAGGGAAGCGAUGGGCUACAUUCCCUAAUGCAGCGAAUACGAAUGAUGAGCUGAAACACUCACCCGAAGGAGGAUUUAGCAGUAAGCAGANNUAGAGAGUUCUGCUGAAACCGGCCNUGAAGCGCGCACACACCGNCCGU